CCAAGAUGGCGGCUGCCCCACCGUCUUCAUUCCAAGGAGAUCCGAAAUGAGGCCGCUGCCUGUGUGUUUGUCUCUGGAACAAGCUGCAACAGGGAAGUCAAGGUCCUUGUUGUGAAUGUGUUGCCUGCCAUUUGGGUGAAUGAGUGCUGUCCACCAUCAGGCCAUCAGCCAUUGCAGUCGAUAAUCUGGAAUGUCUUUUAUGUAUCCUGACUCCUCCGCUGCCUCUUUGGAACAAUUCAGCUGAGAGGCUGCCUUCCAGGCUAUAGAACUCACUACAGUCACCUAAUAAAAC